rnacentral:rRNA from 1 species
UACGUAGGCAGCGAGCGUUGUUCGGAAUUACUGGGCGUAAAGAGUGUGUAGGCGGUGCUCUAAGUUCGGUGUGAAAUCUCCCGGCUUAACUGGGAGGGUGCGCCGGAAACUGGAGUGCUCGAGCGUGGGAGAGGAAAGCGGAAUUCCUGGUGUAGCGGUGAAAUGCGUAGAUAUCAGGAGGAACACCGGUGGCGAAGGCGGGUCUCUGGGCCGAUAUUGACGCUGAGGAGCGAAAGCGUGGGGAGCGAACAGG